CCUACGGGAGGCAGCAGUAGGGAAUAUUGCUCAAUGGGGGAAACCCUGAAGCAGCAACGCCGCGUGGAGGAUGAAGGUUUUCGGAUUGUAAACUCCUUUUGUUAGAGAAGAUAAUGACGGUAUCUAACGAAUAAGCACCGGCUAACUAUGUGCCAGCAGCCGCGGUAAUACGGAGGGUGCAAGCGUUACUCGGAAUCACUGGGCGUAAAGAGCGCGUAGGCGGGUUAGCAAGUCAGAUGUGAAAUCCUAUGGCUUAACCAUAGAACUGCAUUUGAAACUGUUAUUCUAGAGUAUGGGAGAGGUAGGUGGAAUGCUUGGUGUAGGGGUAAAAUCCGUAGAGAUCAAGAGGAAUACUCAUUGCGAAGGCGACCUGCUAGAACAUAACUGACGCUGAUGCGCGAAAGCGUGGGUAGCAAACAGGAUUAGAUACCCGAGUAGUC
rnacentral:rRNA from 1 species